rnacentral:misc_RNA from 1 species
GAUGAAGAACGUAGCGAAAUGCGAUAAGUAAUGUGAAUUGCAGAAUUCAGUGAAUCAUCGAAUCUUUGAACGCACAUUGCGCCCGCUAGUAUUCUGGCGGGCAUGCCUGUUCGAGCGUCAUUUCAACCAUCAAGCCCCUGGGCUUGCGCUGGGGCCCUGCGGCUGCCGCAGACCCCUAAAACCAGUGGCGGGCUCGCUGUCACACCGAGCGCAGUAGCAAUAUCUCGCUCUGGGCGUGGCGGCGGGCGCUUGCCGUAAAACAAACCACAUGUCAAGGUUGACCUCGGAUCAGGUAGGAAUACCCGCUGAACUUAAGCAUAUCCAAUAAGCGGAGGA